UGUACCUACGGGGGGCAGCAGUGGGGGAUAUUGCACAAUGGGGGGAACCCUGAUGCAGCGACGCCGCGUGGGUGAAGAAGCGCCUCGGCGCGUAAAGCCCUGUCAGCAGGGAAGAAAAUGACGGUACCUGAAGAAGAAGCCCCGGCUAACUACGUGCCAGCAGCCGCGGUAAUACGUAGGUGGCGAGCGUUGUCCGGAUUUACUGGGCGUAAAGGGAGCGUAGGCGGAUUUUUAAGUGAGAUGUGAAAUACUCGGGCUCAACUUGAGUGCUGCAUUUCAAACUGGAAGUCUAGAGUGCAGGAGAG
rnacentral:rRNA from 1 species